rnacentral:rRNA from 1 species
CGCGUAGGCGGGCCUUCAAGUCGGUUGUGAAACCCUGAGGCUUAACUUCAGGCCUGCAUCCGAUACUGUUGGUCUUGAGUGCGGGAGAGGAAAGCGGAAUUCCAGGUGUAGCGGUGAAAUGCGUAGAUAUCUGGAAGAACACCAGUAGCGAAGGCGGCCUUCUGGCCCGACACUGACGCUGAAGCGCGAAGGCUUGGGGAGCAAACA